UGGUGGUGGUGGUGGUGGUGGUGGUGUUGGUGAUGAUUGUGGUAGUGCUGACGGUAAUCAUCAUUAUCAUCAUCAUCAUCAUCAUCAUCAUCGUCA
rnacentral:pre_miRNA from 1 species